CAAGCAGACCGGCUUCAGCUGUGGGCGUGGCGGUACAGACAAGUUUGCUAGAAUUAAAAAAAUAUAUAUAUAUUUUUUUUUAUCCUUUAUUUAACCAGGCAAGUCAGUUAAGAACAAAUUCUUAUUUUCAAUGACGGCCUAGGAACAGUGGGUUAACUGCCUGUUCAGGGGCAGAACGACAGAUUUGUACCUUGUCAACUCGGGGGUUUGAACUUGCAACCUUCCGGUUACUAGUCCAACGUUCUAACCACUAGGCUACGCUGCCGCCCCAGGGUAGCCUAGUGGGGAACUGGGGAACUGCUGGCCAAUGGGGUGGAACUUUGGCUUGGAACCGUGACGCUUAAACCAGAGUAAUUGACCCAUGUGCUGUAUUGACAUAAAAUGAAGAGGUCUGGUUCAUGACACAUGAGUUAAGGUUAGACGGACAACCUGGCAGGGUUGGUCAAUAACAUCACCUAUUCUAUGGAAACAUACAGACAAUCACAUUGGAUAAUGUUUCCUCCACAUAAGAAACACCUAACAGAAAGUCUUAGUUUCUCAGUAACUGUCUGAAUGGAGGAGUAGGUAAAGACAUGACAGAUUAUAGACUGUCUGAAUGGAGGAGUAGGUAAAAACAUGACAGAUUAUAGACUGUCUGAAUGGAGGAGUAGGUAAAGACAUGACAGAUUAUAGACUGUCUGAAUGGAGGAGUAGGUAAAGACAUGACAGAUUAUAGACUGUCUUGGUUUGUCAGUAACUGUCUGAAUGGAGGAGUAGGUAAAAACAUG
ensembl:lncRNA